GUGGGGAAUAUUGGACAAUGGGCGAAAGCCUGAUCCAGCCAUGCCGCGUGUGUGAAGAAGGUCUUCGGAUUGUAAAGCACUUUAAGUUGGGAGGAAGGGUAGUAACCUAAUACGUUGCUACUUUGACGUUACCGACAGAAUAAGCACCGGCUAACUUCGUGCCAGCAGCCGCGGUAAUACGAAGGGUGCAAGCGUUAAUCGUAAUUACUGGGCGUAAAGCGCGCGUAGGUGGUUGAGUAAGUUGGAAGUGAAAUCACCGGGCUCAACCUGGGAACUGCUGUCAAAACUGCUGAGCUAGAGUACGGUAGAGGGUGGUAGAAUUUCCUGUGUAGCGGUGAAAUGCGUAGAUAUAGGAAGGAACACCAGUGGCGAAGGCGACCACCUGGACUGAUACUGACACUGAGGUGCGAAAGCGUGGGGAGCAAACAGGAUUAGAAACCCCGGUAUCC
rnacentral:rRNA from 1 species